UUUCCCAUUUUCUCAGACACAUCUGGAAGAAGCACAAGCUGCCCUGAGACCAGCCAACAAGAAGGCAAGGACCUUAGCGUUCCAGCGGGAGCCGUGUAGCAGGUGAAGUCAGAUGUGACCAGGCCACAGAGAGCUGGGUCCAUGGAUGAGAUAGCAGUGUCUGUUGCUUUCAGCUGAUUCAUUAACAGACCAAAAGACUUGCUGAUCAUUCAAGCAAUCACCUCAGGACAGUAUCUGAAAUUCUUCUGUGUUCACCUGUUAUCAGUGGUUCUGCAGGAAAUCCCACUGUGAAGGUACAAAAGCCUGUGCACAUGUACCCAGAGUAUCCUCACAGGCAGCCUGCAACAAACCACCCUUAUUCAUCUGUUUGCUGAAAGAAGAGGCGAAUAA